UACGAAGGGGGCUAGCGUUGCUCGGAAUUACUGGGCGUAAAGCGCACGUAGGCGGAUCUUUAAGUCAGGGGUGAAAUCCUGGAGCUCAACUCCAGAACUGCCUUUGAUACUGAGGGUCUUGAGUUCGGGAGAGGUGAGUGGAACUGCGAGUGUAGAGGUGAAAUUCGUAGAUAUUCGCAAGAACACCAGUGGCGAAGGCGGCUCACUGGCCCGAUACUGACGCUGAGGUGCGAAAGCUAGGGGAGCGAACAGG
rnacentral:rRNA from 1 species